GUUCUAUGGUUGUAUAUACAUGUAUGUGUAUUAUGUCAUGUUUCUUAUGUUUCUCAUUCAUCUUUUUGCUCUUUCUGAAAAAGUACUGCGCGUAUACUUGAGUGAAAAUAUUAAAAAAUUGAGUUAAAAUAUUAAAAAUCACAAAAAUUUUUUUAUAAAAAAAGAUCGUUUUUUUAAAAAACGAUUCGGUUUUUAAAUAUUUUUUAGUAAUAAUUGAUGAUCAUCGAACAAUCAAAUUCAAAUUUUAACCGAAAAAAAAAUGUAAAGAUUACACAAUUAAAUUAAUUUGAAUUCUGACCUGUAUAUAAAUUCCAUAUGAAUUCCAUACUUUUCAAAUAAUCUUAUGCUCUUAUCUAUUAUUUUUUUAAUUGAUACUUUGAAAUAUUAAUUAAUUAUAUUUUAAAACGUAAUAUGGGAUAUAUUAAAAAAUAUGAUUUUUUUUAAAUGUAAAGGAAUACUUGUUUUUUAUAUUAGUUAUCAAUAUUAAGAUAAGUAGACAAUUAGGAUAAAUAUAUGUUACUUUAAAUUUAGGAUUGCUUUAGGAUUUUCUAUUUCUUCAAAAGAAUCAGUCGAUUUACCACAUUAAAAGCGGUAAUCUCUGAUUGCUUUCAAAUGUAUACUGCGCAUGUCUAAGCAAGUUCCUAAAAUCUCAAAAUACUUUCUGCCAAAAAAAAUUCAUCAAAUCCCCUCCUUUGAUAUUUUCCAUUUCUACAAUAGAGUAAAAUUCAAUUAUAUAUAUUUAUAUUUAAAAAAUUAUAAUUGCUAUAUCAACAAAUUAAUUUCGUAAUAAUUGUAAAUAUACUUAAUAUAUACUUAAUACGAAUAUUGUAUAAUAGAAAAAUUUAAAUCAAUUUAACUUUAACUAAUACGAUAAUGAUCUUUUAAUUAAUAUUCUCUAUAACGUAAAUUAAAAAUGAAAUUUUAUUUUUCAAUUCAAAUAAUUAUAAAAUAUUUUAAGUUUGAAUAUGAUAUACUGAAAAAUAUUUAUAUGCAAUAUUCUGGAAAAAUUAUGAUAUGCUAUCGUAUGAUUCCAGUUCAAACAGGUUUCCGUUGGAAUGAUGUGUUUUGACGUCAUGCAUGUCACUCAACGUGUACAUUAAAAUUGUGCUACCACUAAUUUCAACGUAUACUAAUAGUGAGAUUAAUUUUAUUGCAGAGAAUUAAUACAAUUAAUUUUAUUUUAUCAACGAUGAUGAACAAUGACUGACGUCAAACAUUAACAUCAUAAUUGUAAUACAUCAAUUUUUGUUAAAUAAGAAAAAAACAUUAGUUUAUAUAUGACUUAAUCAAAUAGUUUUUACUUAUUUUUAUACAAUCAACGAUAAUCAAAAAACUUAUUCAGCUAUAUUCCAUUUGUGUAACAUAACCUAUAAUAAUAUUGAAGUCUACUAAAACAAUAUAUGAAUAAAAGAAAAAAAAUUUUUUUUUUGUUUAUGCAAUAUUAAUAAGAAUGUUCUUAUAAGCAAAGUCUAAUAUUUAUAUGUAUAAUGUUUCGUUAAAGAAAAAUAAACGUGUGCAAGAUUGUAUCUUUUAAACAACGUUACCAAAUCGAGGCAUUUAAAGGGUUUGAGAGAUUUAAGAAAAAAAUAGUGGAAGAGAAGAAAGUUGAUUAAUAAUGACUUAUGAUUCAAUGGUAUUUGGCAAUCCUAUGUAGGCUUAUAUAAUGUAGAUGAUAUAAGUACGAUACCAAUGAUGGGAUUAUGAAGAAGAUAAAGAAAGAGAUAAAAAAUUCCUCGUUAAAGGAUUUCUCCUAGUAAUCCUAUUUUUAAAAGAUUUCAUAUAAGGAGUAUGCUGUGCCAUCUAAUGGAAAGAAUUUAAAUUUCAUUUAUAUUAUAAAAAUAUAAUAUACUAUUAUAUGAUUGAUCAAAUUAAAUUUCAAAUAUUUCAAAUAUUUUUUAUAAAUUGAAAUUAUACAAAUUAUUAAGAAUUGUUAAAUUAUUAAAUUUUAAUAUGUAUAUUUAUAUAUGUAUAUAUAUAUGUUUUUUAAAAAUUUUUUCAUUAAAUCAAAUUUUGAUUUAAGAAUUAUAUAUAAAUUUUUCGUCUAAAAUAAAUAUCAUAAUUAUAUUAACAAUGAUAUAUACAUACAUAUAUAUGUUUUUUUAUAAUAUAAAACUUCUUUCAAAAUUAUUCUAUAAAUAUUAAAGAAAAUCGUUAUUACAAAACAUUUAAAAAUAUUUAUAUAUAUAUGUAGUAUACAAAUAAAUAUUAUAAUAUGCAAGUAAAUAAGAUAAAAAUAUAAUUUUCUGCUGAUUUA